GUGUGUUGUAGAUAUGUGGUAGAGGUGGAGAAGGGGCCUGAGGGCACACAGUGUGUUGUAGAUAUGUGGUAGAGGUGGAGAAGGGGCCUGAGGGCACACAGUGUGUUGUAGAUAUGUGGUAGAGGUGGAGUAGGGGCCUGAGGGCACACAGUGUGUUGUAGAUAUGUGGUAGUGGUGGAGAAGGGGCCUGAGGGCACACAGUGUGUUGUAGAUAUGUGGUAGUGGUGGAGUAGGGGCCUGAGGGCACACAGUGUGUUGUAGAUAUGUGGUAGUGGUGGAGUAGGGGCCUGAGGGCACACAGUGUGUUGUAGAUAUGUGGUAGUGGUGGAGUAGGGGCCUGAGGGCACACAGUGUGUUGUAGAUAUGUGGUAGUGGUGGAGAAGGGGCCUGAGGGCACACAGUGUGUUGUAGAUAUGUGGUAGUGGUGGAGAAGGGGCCUGAGGGCACACAGUGUGUUGUAGAUAUGUGGUAGAGGUGGAGUAGGGGCCUGAGGGCACACAGUGUGUUGUAGAUAUGUGGUAGAGGUGGA
ensembl:lncRNA